UGUGGCAUUGAAUGAAAUGUUCUGUAAUAUGUGAAAACAAAAACUCAUGUUUUCGUAAUAUGUGUGCAUUACGAGAGACACUGAGAAGGUUUUGAUUAGAGUCAUAUUUUGGAUACAGCAAGAUUCUCAGUGAGAAAAGAGUCUGCUUUUGAGAGUGGAGACUGUGAGGAUGUUGAGACCAAUGGAAAUGAAAUGUUCAGACCAACGGAAACGAGAGACUUGAAUAAACAUAGAUCAGAGAGUGGUGGAGACAAGGAAAAUUGCCAGCGAUGUUGUGUGUCUUCUCUGUCCUACGAUGACAUUGCUGAGGAGGACAGCGUCCCAGCUCAACCCUUAACCAGUGAAAGAUAUGGAACCAGUAGCCUGAAGCCCAGAGGCAGGAGCUGCUGCUAACCACGGACAUGCUACCUACGAGGUGGAGGAAGAUCCACAGGAGAGCUGCGAUGAUGUGGUGUCGAUGACCACGCCAGCUGAGGAGACCAGAGAGGAGGUUGCAGAAGUCAUUGAGAGACCCAAACCCAAGGACCUGGAUGUCCACGAUGAUGAGGAGGGUGACCUGGAGCCUAAUGGACAGGGGUGAGCAACAUGGAGGCUUGACAUGAUCUGUUGUCAAACAGAAGUAUGAGAGGGGGUGUUUUGAUGAUGUUUUUACGUUGGCACUUUGUAUUGUUCUCACGCAUUUGAGAAAUACACGUUUUUCAGUUCCUAGUAAUUACCUAGCAAUUUGGCACUUUUUUCAUGUCAUGUAAAAUUAGUACGGCAUGGUUUAUUAAUUUUUACAAAAUAGAGAAAACAUGUUAUCUCAUCAAAUUAUUUCUAAUAUUUUGUAUUCAUUAAACUUGCCAUUUCAAAUGUCUUGUGACAUCUCUUUUUAGGAUCCCAAAGUUGUCGUCAAAAAUCUGGGUAUCUGCAUAAGAACCUCACGUUCCCUUUUCAUCGGUUCACUUAUAAUAUUGCUGGUUCUUUUUCAUAUGUGAGGAUCCAAUUAUUACAAUUACUUGACCCUUUUCUGUCUCUAACAUUUGAUACUGUUUCAAAUGUUUUGAUUCAUUUGACAUGUUUCGAUUCGUUUGUUGUGCCAUGGCCUGUAAAGCAGAACUGAUUGACACAGAACAGAAUCAAUGGUGUCUGUCUUACAACAACACAUGUAUUAGUGAAACAUGAUCUUGCUAUGUGGUAGUUCCUUCCAUAAAGAACAGCAUGUGAAAAUUCUUAAUUGCUCUUUAUGCGUCAAAGCUCAUAGCCAACAGCUGUUUUUCAAUGACUUUUAUCGUGGUUUUUUGUUGUUGCUACUUUUCCCAUUUAUAAAUGCAAAAUGUUAAUUUUUUAAAUUUGUAAAUGCAAUAUAACAUUGUGCACUGAAAAGAUUUGUUUCUAUUCUCCUCUUCAACUUCUCAGUAUUUAUGUGUUUAUGAAAGUUAUUGUUCAGAUUUUACACAAUAAUCAUUUCAAUGUUAGAUUUUUUACCUUUUUGAAUUGAUUAUAUUUUAAUUAAAGGUUUAUAAAAUAUGAAAGUAGUAGUUCACAGGGUUUAUCUCAUAGCUAUGUGUUUUAUUUGUUUAAACAUGUUUGUUUAGAGUUUUGUUUUCUCUAUGAAAUCAUGUUUGAGAUUUGGUGUUUGGAAUUUUAAGAAUAUUGUCAAUAGUGGGGAAAACAAUCAGUGUAAAAUUAGAAAACUAACUUAAAUGUGAAAAAUUAAACAAAAUUGAGAUGAUGAUGAGAGGUAUAAAAUGAAUUACAAUUAAGAAUACUUCCAAUGAUUAUUUGAUGUACAGUGUCAGAUUUUCUUUAUUAUGUCAUUCGCAAUUGAAGAAAAUGAAAAUAUACUGCUUUAAUAAUGUACUGUGCUGUCAGUAAUGUUUUUUGUAAGGAGACUAAAUUAUUGGCUCUAUUGAUGCUGUCGUGUUAAUUUAACAUUUUACAUUAUGAAAUUAUUCAAAUGAUGGUAAUAAAAAAUAAAAAUACUGAUCUGCA